rnacentral:rRNA from 1 species
AUUGAACGCUGGCGGCAUGCCUUACACAUGCAAGUCGAACGCGAAAGGGGGCAACCCUGAGUAGAGUGGCGAACGGGUGAGUAAUACAUCGGAACAUGUCCUGUAGCGGGGGACAACCCCGAGAAAUCGGGGCUAAUACCGCGUACGCCCCGCACCUUGAUGGGUCUUCGUCGAGAGGGCCCAUCAAGGUGCGGGGGAAAGUGGGGGAUCGCAAGACCUCACACUAUAGGAGUGGCCGAUGUCGGAUUAGCUAGUUGGCGGGGUAAAAGCCCACCAAGGCGACGAUCCGUAGCUGGUUUGAGAGAACGACCAGCCACACUGGGACUGAGACACGGCCCAGACUCCUACGGGAGGCAGCAGUGGGGAAUUUUGGACAAUGGGCGAAAGCCUGAUCCAGCCAUG